rnacentral:lncRNA from 1 species
AGAAAACAAAGAAAUAUGUCUGAAGUGAAGAUACCAAACAUCGGAAUUCAUGUGUUUGUCUUCGCAAUCAUCUUCCUUAGCCUCGUUUUUUUCUCUACCCGCCGCGGCCCCAGCGGCCGUGGGGCGGUGAUUCCGGUGGAGAAAUCCUGCAUACAUGGCUGGUUUUGUGCUUAUGUCAAGCACCACAGUCGAGUGUUAAUGACGUGGCAAAUAAAACUGCAGUGCUCAAUUUGUUACUAUAAUAAGGUGCUCUACUAUAAAUAUCCUUGUAUUCUCAGCAUUAUGUAGAUCAUAUUCGCAAUUCUCAGUUAAUAUAUAAAAUUUUUCUUUCAUCUCUCAGAUUUUCCUUUCCAU